rnacentral:rRNA from 1 species
GACGAACGCUGGCGGCGUGCCUAACACAUGCAAGUCGAACGGAGUUAAGAGAGCUUGCUUUCUUGACUUAGUGGCGAACGGGUGAGUAACGCGUGAGGAAUCUGCCUUUCAGUGGGGGACAACAGCCGGAAACGGCUGCUAAUACCGCAUAAUGUCAUUUGGGGGCAUCCCUGAAUGACCAAAGAUUUAUUGCUGAAAGAUGACCUCGCGUCUGAUUAGCUAGUUGGUGAGGCAACGGCUCACCAAGGCGACGAUCAGUAGCCGGACUGAGAGGUUGAACGGCCACAUUGGGACUGAGAUACGGCCCAGACUCCUACGGGAGGCAGCAGUGGGGAAUAUUGGGCAAUGGGGGAAACCCUGACCCAGCAACGCCGCGUGAAGGAAGAAGGCCUUCGGGUUGUAAACUUCUUUUAGUAGGGACGAAGAACGUGACGGUACCUACAGAAAAAGCAACGGCUAACUACGUGCCAGCAGCCGCGGUAAUACGUAGGUUGCAAGCGUUGUCCGGAAUUACUGGGUGUAAAGGGCGUGUAGGCGGAGCUGCAAGUCAGAUGUGAAAUCCCGGGGCUCAACCCUGGAACUGCAUUUGAAACUGUAGCCCUUGAGUAUCGGAGAGGCAAGCGGAAUUCCUAGUGUAGCGGUGAAAUGCGUAGAUAUUAGGAGGAACACCCAGUGGCGAAGGCGGCCUACUGGGCUGUAACUGACGCUGAGGCUCGAAAGCGUGGGUAGCAAACAGGAUUAGAUACCCUGGUAGUCCACGCCGUAAACGAUGAUUACUAGGUGUGGGGGGACUGACCCCUUCCGUGCCGGAGUUAACACAAUAAGUAAUCCACCUGGGGAGUACGACCGCAAGGUUGAAACUCAAAGGAAUUGACGGGGGCCCGCACAAGCAGUGGAGUAUGUGGUUUAAUUCGAAGCAACGCGAAGAACCUUACCAGGUCUUGACAUCGAGUGACGAACUUAGAGAUAAGUUUUUCCUUCGGGACACGAAGACAGGUGGUGCAUGGUUGUCGUCAGCUCGUGUCGUGAGAUGUUGGGUUAAGUCCCGCAACGAGCGCAACCCUUAUCAUUAGUUGCUACGCAAGAGCACUCUAAUGAGACUGCCGUUGAUAAAACGGAGGAAGGUGGGGAUGACGUCAAAUCAUCAUGCCCCUUAUGACCUGGGCUACACACGUACUACAAUGGUGAUAAAACAGAGGGAAGCAACACAGCGAUGUGAAGCAGAUCCCGAAAAAUCAUCUCAGUUCAGAUUGCAGGCUGCAACUCGCCUGCAUGAAGUCGGAAUUGCUAGUAAUCGCGGAUCAGCAUGCCGCGGUGAAUACGUUCCCGGGCCU